rnacentral:rRNA from 1 species
CCUACGGGGGGCAGCAGUGGGGGAUAUUGCACAAUGGGGGAAACCCUGAUGCAGCGACGCCGCGUGAGCGAUGAAGUAUUUCGGUAUGUAAAGCUCUAUCAGCAGGGAAGAAAAUGACGGUACCUGACUAAGAAGCCCCGGCUAACUACGUGCCAGCAGCCGCGGUAAUACGUAGGGGGCAAGCGUUAUCCGGAUUUACUGGGUGUAAAGGGAGCGUAGACGGCAGUGCAAGUCUGAAGUGAAAGGCAAGGGCCCAACCCUUGGACUGCUUUGGAAACUGGGCUGCUCGAGUGUCGGAGAGGCAA